rnacentral:rRNA from 1 species
UUUAUGGAGAGUUUGAUCCUGGCUCAGGACGAACGCUGGCGGCGUGCUUAACACAUGCAAGUCGAACGGAAAGGCCUAGCUUGCUAGGUACUCGAGUGGCGAACGGGUGAGUAACACGUGGGUGAUCUGCCUCGUACUUCGGGAUAAGCCUGGGAAACUGGGUCUAAUACUGGAUAGGACCAUGCUUUAGUGUGUGUGGUGGAAAGUUUUUUCGGUACGAGAUGAGCCCGCGGCCUAUCAGCUUGUUGGUGGGGUAAUGGCCUACCAAGGCGUCGACGGGUAGCCGGCCUGAGAGGGUGGACGGCCACAUUGGGACUGAGAUACGGCCCAGACUCCUACGGGAGGCAGCAGUGGGGAAUAUUGCACAAUGGGCGCAAGCCUGAUGCAGCGACGCCGCGUGGGGGAUGACGGCCUUCGGGUUGUAAACCUCUUUCGCUAGGGACGAAGCUUUUGUGACGGUACCUAGAUAAGAAGCACCGGCUAACUACGUGCCAGCAGCCGCGGUAAUACGUAGGGUGCGAGCGUUGUCCGGAAUUACUGGGCGUAAAGAGCUCGUAGGUGGUUUGUCGCGUCGUCUGUGAAAUUCCGGGGCUUAACUUCGGGCGUGCAGGCGAUACGGGCAUAACUUGAGUGCUGUAGGGGAGACUGGAAUUCCUGGUGUAGCGGUGGAAUGCGCAGAUAUCAGGAGGAACACCGAUGGCGAAGGCAGGUCUCUGGGCAGUAACUGACGCUGAGGAGCGAAAGCAUGGGGAGCGAACAGGAUUAGAUACCCUGGUAGUCCAUGCCGUAAACGGUGGGCGCUAGGUGUGAGGGUCUUCCACGACUUUCGUGCCGUAGCUAACGCAUUAAGCGCCCGCCUGGGGAGUACGGCCGCAAGGCUAAAACUCAAAGGAAUUGACGGGGGCCCGCACAAGCGGCGGAGCAUGUGGAUUAAUUCGAUGCAACGCGAAGAACCUUACCUGGGCUUGACAUAUGCAGGAUCGGCGUAGUGAUACGUUUUCCCUUGUGGUCUGUAUACAGGUGGUGCAUGGUUGUCGUCAGCUCGUGUCGUGAGAUGUUGGGUUAAGUCCCGCAACGAGCGCAACCCUUGUCUUAUGUUGCCAGCACGUGAUGGUGGGGACUCAUGAGAGACUGCCGGGGUUAACUCGGAGGAAGGUGGGGAUGACGUCAAAUCAUCAUGCCCCUUAUGUCCAGGGCUUCACACAUGCUACAAUGGUCGGUACAACGCGCUGCGAGCCUGUGAGGGUGAGCGAAUCGCUGAAAGCCGGCCUCAGUUCGGAUUGGGGUCUGCAACUCGACCCCAUGAAGUCGGAGUCGCUAGUAAUCGCAGAUCAGCAACGCUGCGGUGAAUACGUUCCCGGGCCUUGUACACACCGCCCGUCACGUCAUGAAAGUUGGUAACACCCGAAGCCAGUGGCCUAACCCUUGUGGGGGGAGCUGUCGAAGGUGGGAUCGGCGAUUGGGACGAAGUCGUAACAAGGUAGCCGUACCGGAAGGUGCGGCUGGAUCACCUCCUUUCUAAGGAG